UGAUCAUGGCUCAGAUUGAACGCUGGCGGCAGGCCUAACACAUGCAAGUCGAACGGUAACAGGAAGCAGCUUGCUGCUUCGCUGACGAGUGGCGGACGGGUGAGUAAUGUCUGGGAAACUGCCUGAUGGAGGGGGAUAACUACUGGAAACGGUGGCUAAUACCGCAUAACGUCGCAAGACCAAAGAGGGGGACCUUCGGGCCUCUUGCCAUCAGAUGUGCCCAGAUGGGAUUAGCUAGUUGGUGAGGUAACGGCUCACCAAGGCGACGAUCCCUAGCUGGUCUGAGAGGAUGACCAGCCACACUGGAACUGAGACACGGUCCAGACUCCUACGGGAGGCAGCAGUGGGGAAUAUUGCACAAUGGGCGCAAGCCUGAUGCAGCCAUGCCGCGUGUAUGAAGAAGGCCUUCGGGUUGUAAAGUACUUUCAGCGGGGAGGAAGGUGUUGUGGUUAAUAACCGCAGCAAUUGACGUUACCCGCAGAAGAAGCACCGGCUAACUCCGUGCCAGCAGCCGCGGUAAUACGGAGGGUGCAAGCGUUAAUCGGAAUUACUGGGCGUAAAGCGCACGCAGGCGGUCUGUCAAGUCGGAUGUGAAAUCCCCGGGCUCAACCUGGGAACUGCAUUCGAAACUGGCAGGCUUGAGUCUUGUAGAGGGGGGUAGAAUUCCAGGUGUAGCGGUGAAAUGCGUAGAGAUCUGGAGGAAUACCGGUGGCGAAGGCGGCCCCCUGGACAAAGACUGACGCUCAGGUGCGAAAGCGUGGGGAGCAAACAGGAUUAGAUACCCUGGUAGUCCACGCCGUAAACGAUGUCUACUUGGAGGUUGUGCCCUUGAGGCGUGGCUUCCGGAGCUAACGCGUUAAGUAGACCGCCUGGGGAGUACGGCCGCAAGGUUAAAACUCAAAUGAAUUGACGGGGGCCCGCACAAGCGGUGGAGCAUGUGGUUUAAUUCGAUGCAACGCGAAGAACCUUACCUGGUCUUGACAUCCACAGAACUUUCCAGAGAUGGAUUGGUGCCUUCGGGAACUGUGAGACAGGUGCUGCAUGGCUGUCGUCAGCUCGUGUUGUGAAAUGUUGGGUUAAGUCCCGCAACGAGCGCAACCCUUAUCCUUUGUUGCCAGCGAUUAGGUCGGGAACUCAAAGGAGACUGCCAGUGAUAAACUGGAGGAAGGUGGGGAUGACGUCAAGUCAUCAUGGCCCUUACGACCAGGGCUACACACGUGCUACAAUGGCGCAUACAAAGAGAAGCGACCUCGCGAGAGCAAGCGGACCUCAUAAAGUGCGUCGUAGUCCGGAUUGGAGUCUGCAACUCGACUCCAUGAAGUCGGAAUCGCUAGUAAUCGUGGAUCAGAAUGCCACGGUGAAUACGUUCCCGGGCCUUGUACACACCGCCCGUCACACCAUGGGAGUGGGUUGCAAAAGAAGUAGGUAGCUUAACCUUCGGGAGGGCGCUUACCACUUUGUGAUUCAUGACUGGGGUGAAGUCGUAACAAGGUAACCGUAGGGGAACCUGCGGUUGGAUCACCUCCUUACCUUAAAGAAGC
rnacentral:rRNA from 1 species